CCCCUAGAUGUUCUGGGCCGCACGCGCGCUACACUGAACAGUUCAACAAGUCUUAACCUUGGCCGAUAGGUCUGGGUAAUCUUUGAACGCUGUUCGUGAUUGGGAUAGACCUUUGCAAUUAUGGGUCUUCAACGAGGAAUUCCUAGUAAACGCAAGUCAUCAGCUUGCAUUGAUUACGUCCCUGCCCUUUGUACACACCGGCCGUCGCACCUACCGAUUGAAUGGUCCGGUGAAAUCUCGGGACGGCGGCUUGGUCGCUUGCGUCCGACUGCUGAAACUUGAUUAAACCAUAUCAUUUAGAGGAAGGUGAAGUCGUAACA
rnacentral:rRNA from 1 species